AGGCCUUAGGCUUGCGAGGAUGGGAAAAACGCAUACGGUGUUCCUUCACCGAUUUAUAGUCUUUCCUACUCCUCCCAAGCCCAUGGCCU
rnacentral:pre_miRNA from 1 species